GUGGAAGCUUUGUUCUUUUCGUUUUUUGCAAUAAAUCUUGUUGCUGCUCGCUUUUUGGGUCCACAUUGCUUUUAUGAGCUGUACCACUCACCGUGAAGAUCUGCAGCUUCACUUCAGAGCCUAGCGAGACCACAAGCUCACUGAGAGGAACAAACAACUCCAGACGCGCUGUCUUAAGAGCUAUAACACUCACCGCGAAGGUGUGCAGUUUCACUCCUGAGCUAGUGAGACUACGAAGCCACUGGAACGAAGAAACUCCAACCACGUUUGAACAUCAGAAGGGGCAGACUCCAGACGCUUCAUCUUAAGAGCUGUAACACUCACUGUGAAGGUCUGCAGCUUCACUCCUGAGCCAGCGAGACCACGAACCGAUCUGAACAUCAGAAGGGACAGACUCCAGAUGCCCCACCUUAAGAGCUGUAAUACUCACUGCAAGGGUCUGCAGCUUCAUUCUUGAAGUCAGACCAAGAACCCAGCAAUUCCCAACACACAGGGACCAGCUUCUUUCCUAACUCACUUAGGCUCUUCGUGCUGCUCUGGCAACUAACACCCUUGGCUGCAGGGGCUUGGACACUACCCUUAGUCACUGACAAUUGUGUGAAGGCUGCUGUCGUUAACUUCACUUGAUCACCUUAGGCUCCUGUGAAGUGGUGAGCAAUUCAAACAAAUUCCUGUCGUCAAAUCAUACAUGAAAAAAACAAGUGUCUCGAAUGUCAGCUGCGGGACGGGCUUGUGCAAGGAGGGCUCUGAAGCUCUGGGAGAGGCAGCUUGGACUCAGAGAGAUGGAGAAAUUGCACUGCAGAGAAAUCUUUAAAAGCAAUUACCUAAUACUGCAGAUUGCUGAACUGUACCCACACCCAAGACUGAGCAUUGGAUCAAUCCAGAAUAUACAUCAGGUGUUCUGCAAUGUCUGCCUAAAACCAUGACUCUGCCUCCUCCAGCUGUUGCUACAUCUCACUAUGGGUUUCCU
rnacentral:lncRNA from 1 species